UAGAACACCGAUUCGCGUACGAUCAUCGAAGUUAAGCAACGUCGAUCCCGGUCAGUACCUAAAUCGGUGACCUCUUGAGAAUAUCAGAUGUUGUGA